UACGUGAGGGUGCAGGCGUUAAUCGGAAUUACUGGGCGUAAAGCGUGCGCAGGCGGUUUCUUAAGUCAGAUGUGAAAGCCACGGGCUUAACCUGGGAACGUGCGUUUGAAACUGGGAGACUUGGAGUGUGGCAGAGGGGGGUGGAAUUCCACGUGUAGCAGUGAAAUGCGUAGGAUAUGUGGAGGAACACCGAUGGCGAAGGCAGCCCCUGGGUUAACACUGACGCUCAUGCACGAAAGCGUGGGGAGCAAACAGG
rnacentral:rRNA from 1 species